UACGUAGGGUGCAAGCGUUAAUCGGAAUUAUCGUGGCGUAAAAGCGUGCGUAGGCGGUUUUGUCGCGUCUGCCGUGAAAAGUCCGGGGGCUCAACUCCGGAUCUGCGGUGGGGUACGGGGCAGACUAGAGUGAUGUAGGGGGAGACUGGAAUUCCUGGUGUAGCGGUGAAAUGCGUAGAUAUCAGGAGGAACACCGGUGGCGAAGGCGGCCCCUCUGGACGGAUACUGACGUGAGACGCGAAAAGCGUGGGGGAGCAAAACAGG
rnacentral:rRNA from 1 species